UGGGGAAUUUUGCGCAAUGGGGGAAACCCUGACGCAGCAACGCCGCGUGGACGAUGAAGCAUCUUGGUGUGUAAAGUCCUUUCGGCAGGGACGAAACCCGAGCAAUCGGGCGGACGGUACCUGAAGAAGAAGCCCCGGCUAACUCCGUGCCAGCAGCCGCGGUAAUACGGGGGGGGCGAGCGUUGUUCGGAAUUAUUGGGCGUAAAGGGAGCGUAGGCGGUGCGGUAAGUUUGGUGUGAAACCUCCAGGCUCAACUUGGAGCUGGCAUCAAAAACUGCCGUGCUAGAGUGUGGGAGAGGAGAGUGGAAUUCCCGGUGUAGCGGUGAAAUGCGUAGAUAUCGGGAGGAACAUCGGUGGCGAAGGCGGCUCUCUGGACCACAACUGACGCUGAGGCUCGAAAGCUAGGGGAGCAAACAGGAUUAGAUACCCCCGUAGUCC
rnacentral:rRNA from 1 species